UACGUAGGGUGCAAGCGUUGUCCGGAAUUAUUGGGCGUAAAGAGCUCGUAGGCGGUCUGUCGCGUCGGCUGUGAAAUCCCGAGGCUCAACCUCGGGUCUGCAGUCGAUACGGGCUAACUGGAGUGUUGCAGGGAGACUGGAAUUCCUGGUGUAGCGGUGAAAUGCGCAGAUAUCAGGAGGAACACCGGUGGCGAAGGCGGGUCUCUGGGCAACAACUGACGCUGAGGAGCGAAAGCGUGGGGAGCGAACAGG
rnacentral:rRNA from 1 species